UACGGAGGAUGCGAGCGUUAUCCGGAUUUAUUGGGUUAAAGGGUGCGUAGGCGGACUACCAAGUCAGCGGUAAAUUGCGGGGCUCAACCCGUCGAGCCGUUGAAACUGGCAGUCUUGAGUGGGCGAGAAGUAUGCGGAAUGCGUGGUGUAGCGGUGAAAUGCAUAGAUAUCACGCAGAACUCCGAUUGCGAAGGCAGCAUACCGGCGCCCUACUGACGCUGAGGCACGAAAGCGUGGGUAUCGAACAGG
rnacentral:rRNA from 1 species